UACGAAGGGAGCUAGCGUUGCUCGGAAUCACUGGGCGUAAAGGGUGCGUAGGCGGGUCUUUUAAGUCAGGGGUGAAAUCCUGGAGCUCAACUCCAGAACUGCCUUUGAUACUGAGGAUCUUGAGUUCGGGAGAGGUGAGUGGAACUGCGAGUGUAGAGGUGAAAUUCGUAGAUAUUCGGAAGAACACCAGUGGCGAAGGCGGCUCACUGGACAUGUAUUGACGCUGAGGUGCGAAAGCGUGGGGAGCAAACAGGG
rnacentral:rRNA from 1 species